GAAUAAAACAUUGGAACUUCAGGAGAUAAGAAAAAUAUGCAGAAGAGAUCAGAUAGGCCAGAACUAAACAGGCAGCACAUUGGUUCUGAAUGUCUGUUUGCAGACCCUACCACCUACAGUUGUGGUUUGACAGCCUUCAGCUAGUGGAACCAUGAUGGCGUGGCUGCUUUCGGGACCUUGUGCAUCCAGCAAAGGAUGGAAGAACUGGCCCCUUGUUGAUAAAAUUCAAAGGAGUAAAUGACAGCACAAGGUACAAGGCAAGGAAGAACCAUGUCCUAAGUGAUUAGAAGAAAAGGUAAUUGGGCAAUCGCCUAAACCCAUCAUGAAGGAGUUGACUCACCCUCACUAGAGGUGUUAAAAAACUAAAGAAAAUAAAACUUUAGCAGGAUUAGUUUAGAAGAAGAUGCUACUCAGUGCAGUGAAGUGGCUGGGAAGAAUCCAGGAAUGUUUUCCUACUGCACCCCCUGUGAGAAAGCUAGUAUCAAAGGUGCUACCAUCAUGUUCGUACAGGAGGACCAAAGACGUGUAGAAAGGAAAGGAAGGCCCCUUGAAUAUUUUUUUAGUUUGAAAUUCCUGGUUGUUUGUGUGAAGAAAAUCUUUGUGUUUGUUCACACUUUGUUUGUUUGUUCUCAUGGUUUCCUUUAUCACUGUGCGGGCAUCGAUAGCAUUUAACAAUGUGUGUUUUGUUUAGC